rnacentral:rRNA from 1 species
AAGCUCUUUCGUCGUGGGAGAAAAUGACUGUACCCGAAUAAGAGGGUCCGGCUAACUUCGUGCCAGCAGCCGCGGUAAUACGAAGGGACCUAGCGUAGUUCGGAGUUACUGGGCUAAAGAGUUCGUAGGUGGUUGAAAAAGUUGGUGGUGAAAUCCCAGAGCUUAACUCUGGAACUGCCAUCAAAACUUUUCAGCUAGAGUUUGAUAGAGGAAAGCAGAAUUUCUAGUGUAGAGGUGUAAUUCGUAGAUAUUAGAAAGAAUACCAAUUGCGAAGGCAGCUUUCUGGAUCAUUACUGACACUGAGGAACGAAAGCAUGGGUAGCGAAGAGGAUUAGAUACCCUCGUAGUCCAUGCCGUAAACGAUGUGUGUUAGACGUGGAAAUUUAUUUUCAGUGUCGCAGCGAAAGCGAAAACACACCGCCGGGAUAGACCGAG